CCUACGGGUGGCAGCAAUAGGGAAUCUUCCACAAUGGGCGAAAGCCUGAUGGAGCAACGCCGCGUGGGUGAAGAAGGUCUUCGGAUCGUAAAAACCUGUUGUUAGAGAAGAAAGUGCGUGAGAGUAACUGUUCACGUUUCGACGGCAUCUAACCAGAAAGCCAAGGCUAACUACGUGUCAGCAGCUGCGGUAAUACGGAGGUGGCAAGCGUUAUCCGGAUUUAUUGGGCGUAAAGGGAACGCAGGCGGUCUUGUAAGUCUGAUGUGAAAGCCUUCGGCUUAACCGGAGUAGUGCAUUGGAAACUGGGAGACUUGAGUACAGGAGAGGAGAGUGGAACUCCAGGUGUAGCGGUGAAAUGCGUAGAGAUAUAGAAGAACACCAGUGGCGAAGGCGGCUCUCUAGUCUGUAACUGACGCUGAGGUUCGAAAGCGUGGGUAGCAAACAGGAUUAGAUACCCGAGUAGUC
rnacentral:rRNA from 1 species